GGAACAAGUAAGUGGAGACAGCGUUUCGGCUCCUCUCUGAGCCUUUAUUAAGUCUUGAUACAGGCUCAGAGAGGAGCCGAAACGUUGUCUCCACUUUCUUGUUC